UAGAAAUGGGUAUUAGAGUUGUAAUUUUUCAAUUCUGUAGAUUUUAUUAAACUCUAAGUGUAUUAUUUAGGUUAUAUACAAAAUUUACAAUUUUUAUGAUUUUGCUCGGUGACGAUGCAAAAUGCGACAGAUGGCCAAUUUAGUCACAUGGGUUAAAUUAGAAUCUUUUUAUAUAGGAGGGGUAUUUAUAAGUUGAUAUUUGGAAUAUUAGGAUUAGGCGGGGUUAUGGUCUUGGACCAUUUUACCCUAAGUCAUUUUACUAUUUAAGCAAUUAUGUAAGGGUAUUUUUGUCAUUUUGGUUUUGAGGAUUAGGUAGUUCUUUCUUUUGAUGGCAGCUGGCCAUUAUUUGUUUUAAUGAAUUAAGUUCAAAAUUGUUAAUUUAUCUAAUUAAUUCAAAAUCAAGGAAAAAGACAAAAUAAGAAACCCACCUUUUGCACUCUCUCUCCUAUAUUCAGGCCUAAGGAAAAACCAAAGAAACUAAGUCCAAUCUUCAUCAAUUUUUGAGGAGAAUCAGCUGGUUUUCAAGGAAUAGUGAAAGUUUGGAACUUGUGAGUAUUAUCAAGAUCUGAGUCUGGAUCUCUUUCUCUUCUUCAGGUUUGGUUACCACCGUCUUACUUACUACAAUUGAGUACUUGACUUGCUAUGUGUGGGCAUGGCACUCUUUCACUAAGGGUUUGAAUAUGGUGAAGAACAAUGAAGGAGGUGAAAUCACUAUGGAAGGAACUCUCUCAUCUACUAGUUGUCAGAGAAUGAAAACUAGAUUUUGGUAGGUUAAAAAUCAUUAAGUGGAUGAGUGGAUCCUCAUGUUCCUUUUAUAGUAUAAUUAGGGCUUAGGGUUGAAUUAUAUGGAUUAAAAAAGAAUACAAUAUUGGGAAAAAAUAACAACUAAGGGCCUACCAUAAAGGGACCACUUUCUAGUUACAAUUUUGCCACUUUAUUUCAACUACUUAUUCUUCUUUUAAUAAUACUAUAUUUUUCAAUUCAAUCCUAUAAAUGCCAAAACAAUUUAUUUAAUAAUUAUAAUUAAUUAUCAAAUAAAAUUUCUAUUUAUAAUA